rnacentral:rRNA from 1 species
CCUACGGGAGACAGCAGUGAGGAAUAUUGGUCAAUGGGCGCGAGCCUGAACCAGCCAAGUCGCGUGAGGGAAGACGGUCCUAUGGAUUGUAAACCUCUUUUGCCGGGGAGCAAAAGACGCCACGCGUCGCGUUCCGAGAGUACCCGAAGAAAAAGCAUCGGCAAACCCCGUUCCAGCAGCCGCGGUAAUACGGAGGAUGCGAGCGUUAUUCGGAUUUAUUGGGUUUAAAGGGUGCGCAGGCGGAAGAUCAAGUUAGCGGUAAAAGUGAGGGGCUCAACCGCGUCGAGCCGUUGAAACUGGUUUUCUUGAGUGAGUGAGAGGUAUGCGGAAUGCGAGGUGUAGCGGUGAAAUGCAUAGAUAGCACGCAGAACUCCGAUUGCGAAGGCAGCAUACCGGCGCUCAACUGACGCUGAUGCACGAAAGUGUGGGUAUCGAACAGGAUUAGAUACCCCAGUAGUC